GGCCACGUAGCCAAGUGGUAAGGCAGGGGUCUGCAAAACCCCUAUUCGGGAGUUCGAUUCUCCCCGUGGCCUCCA
rnacentral:tRNA from 2 species